GACGAACGCUGGCGGCGUGCCUAAUACAUGCAAGUCGAGCGAAGCGGCGGUUGGGUGAGUAAUGCGUGGGUAACCUGCCCUUAAGUCUGGGAUACUAUUUGGAAACAGAUGCUAUUACAGGAUACUAACGGAUGGACAUGCGAUGCAUUAGCUAGUUGGUAAGGUAACGUCUUACCAAGGCGAUGAUGCAUAGCCGAUUUGAGAGACUGAUCGGCCACAUUGGGACUGUGACACGACCCAAACUCCUACGGGAGGCAGCAGUAGGGAAUCUUCCACAAUGGACGAAAGUCUGAUGGAGCAACGCCGCGUGAGUGAAGAAGGUUUUCGGAUCGUAAAGCUCUGUUGUUGGUGAAGCGGUAAUCAACCAGAAAGUCAUGGCUAACUACGUGCCAGCAGCCGCGGUAAUAC
rnacentral:rRNA from 1 species